rnacentral:rRNA from 1 species
AUUGAACGCUGGCGGCGUGCCUAACACAUGCAAGUCGAACGAUGUGGCGAACGGGUGAGUAACGCGUAAUCAACCUGCCCUUCAGAGGGGUACCACAGUUGGAAACUACUUCUAAUACCGCAUACUGAAGGAGGGGAUUGCGUCGGAUUAGCUAGUUGGAGCGGUAACGGCCCACCAAGGCGAUGAUCAGUAGCCGGCCUGAGAGGGUGAACGGCCACAUGGGGACUGAGACAUGGCCCAGACUCCUACGGGAGGCAGCAGUAGGGAAUCUUCGGAAAUGGACGAAAGGCUGACGGAGCAACGCCGCGUGAGUGAAGAAGGCCUUCGGGUGGUAAAGCUCUGUUAAUCGGGACGCGGUACCGGAAUAGAAAGCCACGGCUAACUACGUGCCAGCAGCCGCGGUAAUAC